AGUGAACGCUGGCGGUAGGCCUAACACAUGCAAGUCGAACGGCAGCACAGUAAGAGCUUGCUCUUACGGGUGGCGAGUGGCGGACUGGUGAGGAAUACAUCGGAAUCUACUUUUUCGUGGGGGAUAACGUAGGGAAACUUACGCUAAUACCGCAUACGACCUACGGGUGAAAGCAGGGGAUCUUCGGACCUUGCGCGAUUGAAUGAGCCGAUGUCGGAUUAGCUAGUUGGCGGGGUAAAGGCCCACCAAGGCGACGAUCCGUAGCUGGUCUGAGAGGAUGAUCAGCCACACUGGAACUGAGACACGGUCCAGACUCCUACGGGAGGCAGCAGUGGGGAAUAUUGGACAAUGGGCGCAAGCCUGAUCCAGCCAUACCGCGUGGGUGAAGAAGGCCUUCGGGUUGUAAAGCCCUUUUGUUGGGAAAGAAAAGCAGCAGGUUAAUACCCCGCUGUUCUGACGGUACCCAAAGAAUAAGCACCGGCUAACUUCGU
rnacentral:rRNA from 1 species